UACAGAGGCCCCAAGCGUUACUGAGAAUCACUGGGUUUAAAGGGUGCGUAGGUGGUCCGUUAAGUUCGUUGUGAAAUCCCUGGGCUCAACCCAGGAAAUGCUUCGAAUACUGGCGGACUUGAGGCUAGUAGAGGUCACUGGAACUGACGGUGGAGCGGUGAAAUGCGUAGAUAUCGUUUGGAACGCCAAUGGUGAAAACAGGUUGCUGGGAGUGUGCUGACGCUGAGACACGAAAGCCAGGGGAGCAAACGGG
rnacentral:rRNA from 1 species